rnacentral:lncRNA from 1 species
AUCGACUUUAACUUAUCUAUAGUGCUAUCCUUAGGAAUCCUCUCUACCCUCACCACCUAUCUUGGUGUGUCCUUGGACUGACUAGAAUAGAAGUUAGUGCAAACGCGUUCCCUUGGAUUCGAUACCCUUAGAAUACUCUGAGGUGAAAGCUACAAUAGUAUCCAUGUGCUUGCGGAUUUAUUCAAAUUCGUUAAUUAUACCAACAAGCUUUCUGGCGCCAUUGCCAGGGAACAAUUGUUGUAUCUUUCUUCGUACCUAAUUGUCCUCGUAUCUUUUUAGUUUUCUUUCCUUCUACCUUUACCCCCGCUACCCAUGGAGAAGCCAUCCUUUCAAAGCCUCUCUACCCCAAAGGGUGAGUUCUUAGAGCCACCACCCUCUGUGCAACAAAUCCUUACAUCCGGCUGUGAACUCUGCCCUAACAUACUCG